AUGAAGUAGCGGCGGACGGGUGAGUAAACGUGGGUAACCUGCCCAUAAGACUGGGAUAACUCCGGGAAACCGGGGCUAAUACCGGAUAACAUUUUGAACCGCAUGGUUCGAAAUUGAAAGGCGGCUUCGGCUGUCACUUAUGGAUGGACCCGCGUCGCAUUAGCUAGUUGGUGAGGUAACGGCUCACCAAGGCAACGAUGCGUAGCCGACCUGAGAGGGUGAUCGGCCACACUGGGACUGAGACACGGCCCAGACUCCUACGGGAGGCAGCAGUAGGGAAUCUUCCGCAAUGGACGAAAGUCUGACGGAGCAACGCCGCGUGAGUGAUGAAGGCUUUCGGGUCGUAAAACUCUGUUGUUAGGGAAGAACAAGUGCUAGUUGAAUAAGCUGGCACCUUGACGGUACCUAACCAGAAAGCCACGGCUAACUACGUGCCAGCAGCCGCGGUAAUACGUAGGUGGCAAGCGUUAUCCGGAAUUAUUGGGCGUAAAGCGCGCGCAGGUGGUUUCUUAAGUCUGAUGUGAAAGCCCACGGCUCAACCGUGGAGGGUCAUUGGAAACUGGGAGACUUGAGUGCAGAAGAGGAAAGUGGAAUUCCAUGUGUAGCGGUGAAAUGCGUAGAGAUAUGGAGGAACACCAG
rnacentral:rRNA from 1 species